GAUUCCGUAGCUCAGCUGGGAGAGCGCUACCUUGACAGGGUAGAGGUCGCUGGUUCGAGCAGUCGGAAUCA
rnacentral:tRNA from 1 species